CCUACGGGGGGCUGCAGUGGGGAAUAUUGCACAAUGGGCGCAAGCCUGAUGCAGCCAUGCCGCGUGUGUGAAGAAGGCCUUCGGGUUGUAAAGCACUUUCAGCGGGGAGGAAGGCGUUAAGGUUAAUAACCUUGGCGAUUGACGUUACCCGCAGAAGAAGCACCGGCUAACUCCGUGCCAGCAGCCGCGGUAAUACGGAGGGUGCAAGCGUUAAUCGGAAUUACUGGGCGUAAAGCGCACGCAGGCGGUCUGUCAAGUCGGGUGUGAAAUCCCCGGGCUCAACCUGGGAACUGCAUUCGAAACUGGCAGGCUAGAGUCUUGUAGAGGGGGGUAGAAUUCCAGGUGUAGCGGUGAAAUGCGUAGAGAUCUGGAGGAAUACCGGUGGCGAAGGCGGCCCCCUGGACAAAGACUGACGCUCAGGUGCGAAAGCGUGGGGAGCGAACAGGAUUAGAUACCCCGGUAGUC
rnacentral:rRNA from 1 species